UUCACACAUGCACAACAUGAAAUCAAAAUUCUGCUACAAUGGAAAACUAUGACAUGGGCCACUAAGUCAAAUGAUCAACCAAAACUUCGAAUAUUCUGCGAGGACACAAAUUCAGCAUAUAUACACAAUAUCACCAAAACCUCCCCUGUUUUAGUGCGAAAAACAUGUAUAAUAAUCCAACCCUUGCGCAUUGUAAACAACAUGAAAUCAACAUUCAACAACAACACUACCUUAAUCGAACAACAAACAACAACAAAGCAACAAAUUUAACACAAAAACCACAACCAAUCGACAUCAUCAAUUUGUUACAAAAAACCCCCAAAAUUCGAAAACCCAAGGUCGCAACAAACAUCAUCAAAUGGGCAAAAAAUCCAAAAUUUAUAUCAAAUUCACAACAUAAACGAUGAGAAAUUGAGCUUACCUAAAAAAAAAAACGGCGGCUUUUGGUGUCGUUUUCCCUAGAUUCGAGCAUAAAGGUUGCUUUUGGUGUCGUUGUUCUUCGACAGUGCGCAACAAAUUUCCAUAAAUGAGAAAGAAUGAAGGAGCAAAAAGGGGAAUAAAGAAAUAGAAAGAGAAAAAAAAUAGGUUGACCCGCGAAUUUUUUAAUCGGGUGUGGCCCACAUACUUAACCAAGGGUACUAAAUUCUUUAACCCAAGGUACUGAAUUCUUUGGCUGAUUUAAUUUGUUUGGCCUGAAUUCUUAACUCAGUACCCAAAAGCAAAAUAAAAAUAAUUGAGUAGCUAAAAGGUGAAAUUUUUAAGAAUUGAGUACCGCAACCCCCCUUUCCCUAAAAUUUCUCCAAAAAAAAUAAACUUCAUUGUGGCUGCUGGGAUUCGAGCCCAGGUCUCCACGGCCACAACGUGGAAUUCUAACCACUAAACUACAGCCACAUUUUUGUUAAAUUGUUCAUAAAAUAUAAAUAUAGUUAUAAAUUUUUUUUUAUUUUACCGCCUAUUAAGGAUUUAAGUCGACCGAUGAUAAAUUCCAGAAAAUUUCGAAGAAUAAAAAAAAAAAAAAAAAAAAAAGGAAAAAGUUGACAAACAAUCGGUGAUCAAAAUGCUUAGGAAGUAGAAGUGAACAUAGCCUAUGUAUGUUGAGCUAGCCGGCCUGUUUGAAGUAAAGGAAAGCUGUUGGUACUUGACUCUGCAGCAUAGAUAGGAUAAUUCAUGUGAAGUUGUUUACAGCUAAUCAUGGUGAUAUUGACAUGGAAACAUCUUGUACAAUGCUGUAAUCUUAAUGGAAGAGCUACUAGAAGUGUUCGUUUUCUUCUGGACUUUCAAGUAACAUAAGAGGUUACAUUACUGUUCCUAACAUUUAAUGUAUGCGUGUUUUUGGUGGACUCGGUUAAACAUGUUAAUUCCUGCACAAAUACGCAAAGGAAAACUCAAAAGCAAGUUUUAGGCUUUUGUCUUUUUAGGAAUAUCAGUUGUAUUGAGAUGUUUUAUUUGGGAUUCGGCAGAGGGACUGGUGGAACAAGUUUAAAAACAGAUUAUAUAUUAGAAGCAAUCUACUGACCCAGUACAAUUAACUAAAGUACAUCAUAUUAAAGGAUCCUGAUGAGUUGAUGCCUUCUAUGUCAACUGUUGGUGAUGGAUUUGGUGGGCUAGUUCAAUAGAGUGAAUUUAAAAUGCACAUUUUCAUACAUGAUGCUAAACACGAAUGUGAGGCAAUAAUAGAUUGAGCAGUUAUCAAUGUAAGAAGAUAAAGGAAACAGAUAACUUCUAAAUGCUAUUAGUCGGGUUUCGUAGAAGUGAUUUGUGGUUGAAAGGAAAUUAUUUAAAUUGAAUGAUGUUAAUGUUUGCUUUGCCAAGUUCAUUGCAUGAGUAUACCUACUGUCAUGUCAGAAGAAUAAGAAGGUGCUUUGGUUAGAAGAUUAGGAUAGUGCUUUGGAGUUUGGAAUCCAGCUGAAAGCUGGCAUAUGCUAAGAUCUUGGUUGAUAUUUUAGCUUAGAUUACAUGACAUUUAAUGUAAAAUCAUCUGAAAAGAUAUUGGCAAACAAAGGGAUAAGAACUUAAGAAGACACUGCUGAAUUUAUUUUUUUGACACACUUUAACGUUGAUGGCUUAUGUAGAUUUGUCAUAGGUUGAUGUCUUUGAUAGUGCCUCUUUGGUACAAAAGCAACUGUUUUUAAUACCUACUCAGUAACUUUUUCCUCCCAAAUAUGUAGUUUACUUGAUUCUUUAUUAGCUAUUCAGAUCAAAGCUACAGACAUGUUUGCCUUUUUUUUUUUUUUUUUUUUUAUAAAGACAUGAAACUAAACAGCAGAACCAAAUAGGCAUUUACUAUUACCACUUACUAGUAAUUGUUAAUGAUAACUUAAUGGUCACUCAUACAGUGUCUCAGUGCUACGGAAAGUUCAGAAGAUGCACGUUUCUUGCUUAAUCGACGUUCAUUAUUACAUCCUUAAAAAUGGUAGACCAUUGUAGGCUAGGUGUUAAGAUAAAGAUGUAUGAAGCUAGGAUUUUGGUUAAGAAAUUAAAUAAGUAGGUAUUAGGAGCUAAUUAGGCAUGAUGCUUCUUUUUUCUUUAAAUGUAUAAAAUUUCACAAUCUCUUUACAAGUAGGACAGAGAGUAGAUCUCCUAGCCACAUGCCUUUUGGGGACCAUCAAUUAGUAAUCAGUUCAAACAGCUUCGAAGGACAAUAGAAUAAUCAAUAAAGAAGAAACCUCGUGGUCCCAUGAGGGCAUAUAGUUGGUAGAUUUGGCUAUCUUGCCAGGUAAUGUUAAGUUCACUGUGGAAACAGAAAGAUGGAAGAACUGGAUGAUUGAAGUCAUUUAUAUUCAGCUUCCUCCAUUUGGUCUCAAUGGGUAAUGUUUGUUGAUUGCAGAUUCACUGGGUAGUACCUCCUUUGAUGGGUCUGUAUGGAUAUUGAGUCAGCUCUAGGCUGUAGUUUGUAGUACAAGGGCCAUGUAAACUGGUAUACUGCAGUUAGAGUUGCUGGGUGGUCCUUAGCAACGCAUUAUUACGAGCAACGGAAAUGGGAUACAAUAUAGUGCAAACUCAUUGCUUAGGUCGGAUGUGGGGUGUAAAAUGUAAAUGUAUUGGUUCUGGUAAUUUGUAGGUCGGGUUAAUGAGGUUGAAAAUUCAUGUUCAAUUGUUCAUAACCCAAAUUUUUUUAUUUCUAAGCUUCUAGCUAGCGCAAUCUGUUGGUGCUGCUUUUUAAAUAUUUGUUUAGAAGACCUAUCAAAGUUUGCAGCUAUGAUAAUAUAUGCAAAUUUCCAAAUAUAAACUUGUGACUGUGAAUGCAUUAUGAAAAUGCACUUUAAGAUAAGCUAAUUAAUGAGUCAUUAAUUAUAAAAUGAAACAUUGAUAGACUUAAUGUCAUUCUAUUGAUUGUUAACACCUCAAGACAAAUAUGAGAAAGAAAACUGUCUAAAAGUCAUGUUAACUACAUGUCAAAUGAUUAUAACAUACAUAUGUGACACUCUCUGUCUUUUACAAACAGGUUAGUCCUAAAGUCCUGACCAAAAAGGUCUUCAUCUAAUUCUGGUUGUUAAUUUGUCAUAUUUCGCUUCAGCUCAAUUGGCAUUUAAUGAUUUGAUAUUAGCUGACUGAAGAAAUUGCAGGUUGUUUAGGUUUGGAUAGUUUUGGAUUACAAGUUAAAAAUGCUGUCCCUAUCACAAAAUUCAGCUUGAUAUUCAAUUGGAUCAAUUUUAGACAUGUAAAAUAUGUGCGUUCACAUCGGUAUGCUCCAGAUUGCUCCUUGCUAGAAGGUAAUCAUCUACAUGCUUAUGUAAUAUAUGAUUAAAAAUGCUUUAAAAGUAGGGAAAGGUGUUCCAGCUUUCGAAAGAAACUUCACAGUUUUUAUAGUGUAACUGUUUCUCUGCUUUAUCUUCAUCGGAUUAAGGGAAUUAAGAAUGGCAUGGUUGUAUCAAAAGCUCCACUCUCCGGCAUACACCACGGGUAUUUCCACUGUUAAAAUCGGUAUAUGUGCUUAUCUAGUGCAUUAUUAUACUUAACAUAUUGUAGUUCCAACUAAUAAUAAGCAAGGGGACAAAUAACACUUUGCUAUUUUGAAGCUCUAGAUCAUUGUCUUGAAUUGUACAAUAUGGAAACCCUGGCAUUUUUGCUCCAAAUUUUGGGGUCUCGUUUAACUAGCUGAACCUACCCCUUUGUAUUGUGCUCUGUGUCAUUUUGUUUAUUUACUGCUCAUUUAUCAAUAUAUGCAUUUUGAUUACUGUAAUUCCCUUUGUUUAUUUAUGCUUUAUGUCGAAAUUGUUAUUUUAUCUUUCAAGAAAUUCUUUCCUGUUUGUUAUUGAUGUUGAUUCUAAACCUGGCAAUUACUGUACGUUACUGCUAAUUGUCAUGCUUUGGAAUCAUAGUACCUGUAUUUUCUACUUUCUUUGUGCUACAACUUUCUGAUUAACUUACUUGUCGCUUGUCCUCGAAUCACUUAUAUUGUCAUGUAUCCCAACUUAAUAUAUGACUCUGAUCUUUAGUCCGAUUCUUAUUAAUCCCAAUUCAGGAUGUUCACUAGAAUUCUUCAGGUGCACGAUGAUCAAUUAAAACGUUUUGCAGCCGGAAGACUAAUAUUCAAUACAGUAGUUGCAUCACGUCUACUGGCAUUGCUUGAAAGUUAGGCUUUCCGCGUUGUUGAUAUCAGCUUCUUCCUAGCUCCUACUACUGUACUACUGUCUACAUUAUUAUUAUUAUUAUUAUUAUU